rnacentral:rRNA from 1 species
GACGAACGCUGGCGGCGUGCUUAACACAUGCAAGUCGAACGGAAAGGCCCUGCUUUUGUGGGGUGCUCGAGUGGCGAACGGGUGAGUAACACGUGAGUAACCUGCCCUUGACUUUGGGAUAACUUCAGGAAACUGGGGCUAAUACCGGAUAGGAGCUCCUGCUGCAUGGUGGGGGUUGGAAAGUUUCGGCGGUUGGGGAUGGACUCGCGGCUUAUCAGCUUGUUGGUGGGGUAGUGGCUUACCAAGGCUUUGACGGGUAGCCGGCCUGAGAGGGUGACCGGCCACAUUGGGACUGAGAGACGGCCCAGACUGCUACGGGAGGCAGCAGUGGGGAAUAUUGCACAAUGGGCGGAAGCCUGAUGCAGCGACGCCGCGUGCGGGAUGACGGCCUUCGGGUUGUAAACCGCUUUCGCCUGUGACGAAGCGUGAGUGACGGUAAUGGGUAAAGAAGCACCGGCUAACUACGUG